rnacentral:rRNA from 1 species
CUGGAAACGGACGCUAAUACCGCAUAAUGCAUCGGGAAGACAAUCUUUCUGAUGCCAAAGAUUUAUCGCAUAAGGAUGGACUCGCGUCUGAUUAGAUAGUUGGUGGGGUAACGGCCUACCAAGUCGACGAUCAGUAGCCGGACUGAGAGGUUGAACGGCCACAUUGGAACUGAGAAACGGUCCAGACUCCUACGGGAGGCAGCAGUGGGGAAUAUUGGGCAAUGGAGGCAACUCUGACCCAGCGACGCCGCGUGAGUGAUGAAGGUCUUCGGAUUGUAAACUCUGUUGAUAGGGACGAAGAAGUGACGGUACCUAUCGAGGAAGCCACGGCGUAACUACGUG